GGGCCCGUGGCCUAGCUAGGACAAGGCGUCGGCCUUCUAAGCCGGAGAUCCCGGGUUCAACUCCCGGCGGGCCCGCCA
rnacentral:tRNA from 1 species